AUAUGUAGGACAGGCUAGACUCGGAUAACAAGAGAGUUGAAUCUCUUGCUUUUGGAAAAAAAACAAGAAGCAAAUUCCAAGGUUUUAGCCAAUUAUUUGACAGUAAUGAAAAACAGACUCGAAGGAGGGCAUAUCUAAGCAAAGCAUGGCCCAAGCAGUCGGGAUACCAGAGUUGAAAGCAAGCGGUGCAGAGACAGGGAUGAGAAGUAGGCAAUUGAAGAGGAGACUGGACGGGCAACCUUCCAAGAAUCUCAUGGCUGACAGGAGAAGAAGUCGGUUGAAUGACAGGCUCUCCAUGCUUAGAUCUGUUGUUCCAAGAAUGAGCGAGGUUGAGAAAAGAUCAUUAAGCUUCAUCUGUUUGGCUUUCCUUCUUUUCUCUAGAUUUUAUGAAACUUUAUUUGGGAUUCCGUUAGAUGGACGGGACUUAUAUCCUUGGAGGCACUACUAAUUAUACCAAGGAACUCCUCGCCAGAUUCAAAUCCCUCCAAGAAGAAGUACAUCUAUCUGAGGAAAGCAGCGAUCAUCUAAAUCUUCAGAACUUUCUCAAGCAGCUAGAACGGGAUCAGGCUCUGGUGAGGAACACGCCCAGGGUGUGGUUUUAUGAAAAUGCAGUUUGACAUAGAAAAACAAGGUACAGAUACAAGGAUAGAUGUCUGCUGUGCAGAAAAGCCAGGAUUAUUGCUGUCAACGAUCAGCACCAUAGACGCGGUUGGGUCAGCGGCGUGUGAUAAGCUGCUUCAAUGAUUUUGGAAUGCAAGCUUCUUGCAGAGAGGUUAGUUCUUUUGACCAUCGUAGAGGACACGGUUAAGGUCUGAAGAUAUCAAGCAAGCACUAUUGAGAAAUGCAGGCUAUGGAGGAAGGUGUAACUGAAGAAGAACUGCAGAAAGCGCCUUUUGUUGCCCUCUUUUUCCCUCGAUGUGAUGACCAUAAUAAGCACUAAUUGUGAAGUAAAAGCUCAAAAUCCUAUUUUUGAUGACUGAGGAGACUGAUUAUCUUUGAACUAGCAAGCGUUUAUAAUAUAAUGCAUUGUAACUUUCUGUGUAUAAAGUACAAACAACUUUUCAA